UGGGGAAUAUUGCGCAAUGGGCGAAAGCCUGACGCAGCAACGCCGCGUGAGUGACGAAGGUCUUCGGAUUGUAAAGCUCUUUUGGCGGGGACGAUAAUGACGGUACCCGCAGAAUAAGCCCCGGCUAACUUCGUGCCAGCAGCCGCGGUAAUACGAAGGGGGCUAGCGUUGUUCGGAAUUACUGGGCGUAAAGCGCACGUAGGCGGACUGAUAAGUCAGGGGUGAAAUCCCGGGGCUCAACCUCGGAACUGCCUUUGAUACUGUUAGUCUCGAGUCCGGAAGAGGUGAGUGGAAUUCCUAGUGUAGAGGUGAAAUGCGUAGAUAUCGGGAGGAACACCUGUGGCGAAGGCGGCCACCUGGUUGGAUACUGACGCUGAGACGCGAAAGCGUGGGGAGCAAACAGGAUUAGAUACCCUGGUAGUCCCUGAGCGGGCUGGCAAGGCGCAU
rnacentral:rRNA from 1 species